rnacentral:rRNA from 1 species
GACGAACGCUGGCGGCGUGCUUAACACAUGCAAGUCGAACGGAAAGGCCCUGCUUUUGUGGGGUGCUCGAGUGGCGAACGGGUGAGUAACACGUGAGUAACCUGCCCUUGACUUUGGGAUAACUUCAGGAAACUGGGGCUAAUACCGGAUAGGAGCUCCUGCUGCAUGGUGGGGGUUGGAAAGUUUCGGCGGUUGGGGAUGGACUCGCGGCUUAUCAGCUUGUUGGUGGGGUAGUGGCUUACCAAGGCUUUGACGGGUAGCCGGCCUGAGAGGGUGACCGGCCACAUUGGAACUGAGAUACGGCCCAGACUCCUACGGGAGGAAGCGGUGGGGAAUAUUGCACAAUGGGCGGAGGCCUGAUGCAGCAACGCCGCGUGCGGGAUGACGGCCUUCGGGUUGUAAACCGCUUUCGCCUGUGACGAAGCGUGAGUGACGGUAAUGGGUAAAGAAGCACCGGCUAACUACGU